rnacentral:piRNA from 1 species
UGAAUGAGGGAGCAGUAAGGACCCAGC